AUGGAGCCAGGACAACUGGCCUGAAUUAGGCAGGAGAUUAUUCCUUACCAGGUGACAGCAUGUGGAAGACCAUAAAGGCGUGGGGAGUUGCUUGGGCAGUGAUUAGGUGUUAGCUGUUGGACUGUGAAGGCUUAGGUGGUGAGGGGUUGGACUGCUGAUAGGACAUCAAUCGCCAGAUAGCCAGCUGAAGGAUAAUGAAUGUCAAGGACAUGAAGUUGAGAAAGGAAACACGUGGUUGUGAACUGGACCUUGCAGAACUGUAGGGCUGGAGAUGACACGUAUUGGUCUUGCAACACAGAAUGAGGCUUGUGAGAGGUGAAGCACAUUUAUCACCUCAUAUAGGCACUGUGAACCACUGAUCAUCAGAGCCCUCACACAGACUUUUCUGAGAGCCUCACUGGAGGACAAGGGAUGUGUUCUCACCCCAUUAGGAUACAUCACCCAGACUUCCAUACUCAGCAUACAGGGUUAAACUCAGUCUUUCAAAGACACUGCUUCAGAGUUGA